UAAUCGUAAAGAUCUUAAUAAAUUCAGCCUGAUUAACUCCAACCUUGUGGGGGAAGGUUAUUCAGUGUUGUGGAAUUAAUUUUAAACAGAAGCCAGAAAAAGAAAAAGAAAAUUCAGAGCAAGGCAGAAAACAUCCAGCUCAGGAUGGGGAAGGUGGGAGGUUCAUGCGCAGGAAGCCAGAACCGGGGAGCGCCGGCUGGGGGUGGGCUGCUUCUGAGGUCACGCACGGUGGCCCUGAUGAGUAAUUCACUCUCGGGAAUCAGAGGAGCCUCAGGAGCGAUGGGACACAGGUUCCCCCUGGGACCUCUCCUCCGGUAUUGGGCUCAGGCCCCCCAACCCCAUGCCUGAGCCCCCUCACACCCCCUCUCCAGGUCAACUCAGCCCUGGACAAGCCCAUGCGAGGCUGAAGCAGGAAGCCAGGGCAGAGCCCAAGCGGGCGCGUGGGCAGAAUCCCAGAGCCUGGCAGCCUGCCCAUCGUGGUGCUUCUGGGGCGAGACACCCUCUCCAUCCCCGUCCUCCGGAUCUGCAGGCACCACAGUCGUUGGGGUCAUGCUCAAGGCUGGAGGCUGGAGGCUAGAGGCUGGAGGGCGGGUGAAGGCUGAGAUGCAGGGGCUGGCCUGGACGAGCCCUGCGUCCACCGGGAGGUUCCUGCCCUCCUCUGUGCUCCUACGGGAGCCGUGUCCUUGCUAUCCGCACCCCACGUUUGGUGUCACCCUGCCCACGGGCCCCCCGAGUCCAGCCUUGCGUCUGCACCCCCACCCUGACUACGGCGCCCCAAAUCCACUCUCCACGUGGCAGUGGGGGCUCCCUCCCCAGACCUCCUCGCAUAUCACCCAAACCCUUCUGCAUGCCGUGUAACCCCCACGACCGGCCCCACCUGACCCUCAGCCCCUCACCCACUCCCGCAUCCCGGGGGCUCCAGCCAGUGUCUCUCUCUCUCUCUCUCCCUCCCUCCAUCCUGGCAUUUUCAAAGGGCUGUUUCUGCCUGGCUGGCGAUGGUCCUCCUCCAAGUCAGCUCAAGUGUCCCCUCCCUGGAGGCCUUGCCCAGCAAGGGUCACAGGGAGCUGCAGAAACCUCAGGUCGGGGUUGUCGUUGUUUUAACCAAGGGUUAGGACCCACGGGCGACUGUGGAAUCGAUGAUCAGGUUGCAACCAGCAUUUUUAUAAAAAUACAAAGUUGCAUAGGUGAGGAAAAGUCUGAGGGAAUUCUACUCUGCAGGAGGAGAAGGAGACACCAGCGUCCGCACUCUGCCUGGUGACGGCACCACGAGAAGUUUGCCGUGUGCGAGCCUGGAUCUCAGACCCCCGGCCUCCGGCACCGCGAGGAAGCAAGCCGCCCGGUCCAGGGACUAAGGCAGCCCCCACGUUCCCAACCCGGCCCUCACGCAGCCGGCAAGAGUCGCGUCGUGGGUGUUGGUGGCCACAGGUGUGUCUGCAGGAACACUGCGGGGCACCCAUCUAGAGACAGCAGGCUGAGGCUCGGAGGGUGGGGACGGAAGCUGCUGGAUUUUACUGUAGCCCCACCGUAAGCUCCCGUUGGACCGGCCCAUGGCAGGUGGCACGUGCCUGGCCUUGGUGUUCCCACCGCAGCCUGUGUCUCCCGGGGGCCGUGGCGAGCCAGCCCCACGCACGCCCUGCUCCAGAUCUGACCUGCUGGCCCCUGAGAUGAGCACUUAGCCGCCUCCCAUAAACAAGGAUGUUCGUCUGCAUCGGCCCUAAUGAACAGCAUUUGUCAGACUGGACCCAGAGAGCAGUCGCAUUGGAGGAGACCAAAUGCUUCCUCCUCCACUCCCGACGUGGCAGCCCGGGCACAGCGGAGACCGUGGCAUCUAGCUGUGCAGGGGGCAGGGGGCCACCGGUCCUGGGGGCGCGUGCCCUGCAGAUGCCUGGGCGGGAACAGGGAGGCCCGCCCGGCGCAGCUCUGUCUGCAGCGGGAUUCAGACGCAGCCGUCCUUUCCGGCCCAGCCAACUCGCUUCCUUUUGGGAUUGUUCAGGGAGGACUCUGGGAAGCAAGCACAGCGCUGACGCAGAGCGGAUGCACUGACUCAGGGGCUGUGGGGCCCAGGGCACGCUGCAAGCAAGUGGGGCGGCCGCGGGGCUGCAUGCACGUGGUCAUCCGGGGAUGCAGAGGUGACCCGCGGCCUCUGCUUCCUGGCCCUGGUUCCCGUGCUUGCGGCUUUGUUCUCUCGCAGACAGGCUUCCCCAUCAGCGGGAAAUUUGGACAUGACUGCUCUCAGAUUUACCUCUAGGGGCUGCCACCCCUGGAAAGGGUUCAAUGGAAGCUUUUUCUGGGCCCAAACAAAAAAACAACAACCCAAAAACUCCCAGGAAAGAGCUGUGAUUGGCCAGCGCAGCUCGGGCAGCAUGGUCAUGGAUGGUGGGAGGCGUGGGGUCCCCCAGGGAAGCUCCCAGAGCAGCGGACAGUAAUUAAAGAGAAAUAUUACAUCGCUGCACCUGUUUUUCACUUUGGCUCACCACCGUGAGUAAGCCCAAUCUUUUAUUGAGGAGAAGAGACGCAAGCUGGAAAAUCAUAGGAGGAACAUCAAAACCCCUCCAGCCUUCCCUGGAGACGUGGAAGAAAUCCCAAAUUACGGAGCCAUAUGGAGGGCGCACGGCGAGCGGCGGUGCCCACGGCGGGGCCGGGCUCUCGGCUCCUCCAAAGGGUCAGGGCCUGCCCGGGGCAAGGAUGCCGCGGCGGACGGGUUGUCCACUGCGUCCUGUUUCUGCUCCUUCUGCCCCGGCCCGAAUUCGCGCUCCCGAGAGAGGGGGUGAGAGCGGCCAGGGAAGCCGAGCGGGUCCAGUCCAGCAGCUCUGGGCCUCAGGUGGGCCUCAGCCUUCCCGGCCAGUGCCCCCCACGCUGCUCAGGGGCUUCAGCCGCAGGGACCCACAAGGCCGGGGCAGACAGCACCAGAGAGCAGAUGUUUGCCAGGCACUUCACAGUUUACUCUUGGCCCCUGAGCAUGAUUCUGUUCUCCCGAGAAGCCCCAGCAGGGAUCCUGCUACAGCGGCCGCCCCGGGGGCUCGGGUUCCUGCGUGGGUCCCCGGUGCCGCCCACUCGGCCCACCCCGAAGUUCCAGCUCUCUUCCGAGGACCCGCUUCUGUUUAUAAAACCCACCGGCGGCCCGGGUCAGCCCCUCCCUCCUGCAAAGGGGCCGUAUGUCAAAAUAAAGUCCCACUCGGAGAGGAACAGAGCGGUAAUGGGAGGCAGCGGACCCUGACCGGGGACUUGGCGCACAUUUUCUAGACACAGACGAGCCCAUGGACUUAACUCCCUGAUGCACCUUGGGUCCCCCGGGCCCCCGCCGAGCCUGGCUGCGCACCUAUCACGCGGGCGCCUGAUUACACGUGCUGACCUGUAACCCCCACCCCCAGGAGACCACCGUCCUCACCAUUGGACACACGGCCCCGUGGCUCAGAGGAGGUGCCCUGGAGCGGUUUCUGCUGGAACAUUCCGGGGCUGAGACCCCCCUUGUGAUUUAUGACUUCUACCACGUGACUGCUGCCGGAGGCCCCUGGAGACGCAGGGAUGGGGGCCGAGCCACGUUCCCCGUCCCCAGUCACCGACUCCCAACUCCAGGGAGCGCCUCCCAAGCAGCGACGUUAAGGGUUCCAGAAGAGGUGAGAGGGCCAGCCUCCGCGUGGCUGAGUCCUCACAGAGACCUGUCCUGGUGCGGGGAGGACCCAGUCCUGGAAGCCAGGCAGUGUCAGUUACUCACAUCGGUCCUCCGAGUGACACCGUCUCUGGGGCACCAGCCCCCCGCCCCCGCCCCCCAGGCUUUGUAAGGUCCCGCCGUCCGGUCCAGUUGACCACGGUUUUCACCUGCCUUCAGCCCUGAAGUCCUUGCCGUUCUUCCUGUCCCCCACCCAGAGACGGCCCUGUGAUGCACAGAAUCGCGGCCCCCCAGAGAUGCCCACAUCGUGCUCUCGGAUGCACUGCAGAGGGGGGUCGCCGAUGCCAAUCAGCUCGCUGUGCGGCCCGAAGGCUACUCUGCACAUCCCGCGUGGACCCGAUGUGAUCACGGGGUCCUGGAAGGCAGAGCGGGAACUGCAGGAGACAACCAGACACGUGGCUGUGUGGGAAGGACACGAGCCACCGUCCCGGCUUUGAAGACGGAGGUCGGGGUGCUGCAGUCCUCGAGCCAGGCAUCAGGGGCCGUGCUGGCUGGGGCUACGGCUCAGAGCGCCCUGGGCUGGGCCCCUUGGACUCACGAUGGCUUGCCACGUGUCCUUUGCACUCCCAGGAAGCAAGGCGGGCUGGGGUGGAGGGAUCCUGGGGCAUUCCUGGGCUGGGCAGGUAGGCACUUCGGGCAGCCGGAAGCCGGCAGAGCCAUGAACCGUGUCCCAGAGAUCACUGGGGCCGCAUCCAAGGAAACGGGAUGUCAGCAGGUCCCGAGGACUUCGGGGGGCUGGGGGGGACCACAGAGAGAGGCAGGAGAAGCUUGGACAGACUGGCCCCGUUAAGCCUCUGUUGGGAGGGAGUCCCCUCCCCUGUGGAUAUUCCGCAGGUGGCCGUCUGCAGCCCCAGCCCGUCGGCAGAGACACCCUCCCCCGCCCCGGGGACCCCCAUCGUGGCAGCUGCGUGGAGCUGAGGUUCAGUCUGUGGCUCAGGCCUUGAAUCUAACUGAUUGUGACUGGCUCGCCCACCUCUGAUCACAGAGCUGACCCACUUUGAAAGUUUGCCGUUUUCAGCACCAGUGCGUGGCCGGGGGGAACGGCUUGGCCAAAUGUAUUAAUAACCUCAAAUAUAUUCAAAUCUUCUGACUCGGUAAUUGUCCCUGUGGGAGUCCAGCCUCGGGGCGUCGCCGGGGAUGUGGACAAAGACUUUGCUCUAAGAAGUUCCUCACAACACAAUUUCGAGUAGAAAGUAACCGGCAAAUGGCUUAGAUGUUCAACAAAGGAAAAACGGCUUUUAGGGGAAAAUCCCUGCAGUGAAAUAUUUUGCAGCUGCUGAAAGGGACGGCCGAGGCAUUUUUCCGGGGACAAAAAUACCCACGACAUAAAAUUGCAUUAAGAAAAAAAAAAAGAUUGCCUGAGUUGGGGAGUUUGGAUGCUGGCUACUUUCUUUGUUGCAUUUUUCUCAAUUUCUAUAAUUUCCACCACGAUCACAUGCUUCUUGUAGAACCAGGAGGAGAGGGAGAACGGCCUCCUUGGGGCCCCGAGGACGCUGGUCUCCCAAAGCCCGUGUCCCUCGGCAGCUUGGCUGGGUUUUCCGGAGCCACGCACUCCCCGUCGGCCCUUACCUGGCACGCCCAGGGGGAUGUUUGUGUUUGGCUCUAAUUCCAAAUCCCAGUAAAACCCACAGCUGCUUCUCAGUUCUCGUCCCCACAGCAGCAAACCCGCCCCCCACGCUGCUGAUUCUCUUCUGCAUUACCAGUCUCUCUCUGCACACAGAUACUAAAUAUAUUUUAAUGGAUCCAGGCUGUUACUGGUGCAGCCAGCCCAAGACUGGGACGGCUAGAGGCACGGCCAGCUGAGUUCUCAAACCCUCAAUCCAGUACUCCCCAGCCUCUACAGAAGGGGGGACGUGAAUCCAGUCCAGGCUUGAAAAUUGUCCCAGUUGGGCUAGAAAAGCUAAUCCAGCCUGGCAUCAACAAUAACGGAGUCUUAUGGUCUCACUGAAACAAAACUUCCCGAGGAAUCAGGCUUCAGGCACAGCUCGAUCCAGACGUUCUUGGUGGCCUCGGGGUCCUGGCACCAUUUCCUCUGCUGUCCCUUGGCUGUUUCAACCGUGGGGCUGCAGCCUCUGUCCACGGCAUCCUGUUCAGAUGAACAGAGGGUGCUGUUGUCCCCACCUCCCCUGCAUGGCCACUGGCAUUCGCUGUCCCUGGACCAGCUCAGCGCAGGUGCUCCCCCUGGACUGUGACCAGGGGACGGGAUGCACUGACUAUCUCAGGCCAUCAGGUGCCCGAACGGGAGCUGCGGGGGGAGUCUGUUUCUCCAGAAACAGCGUCCUUCCCCUUCCUGCGGGUAUUUAGACACCUGACAUCUGGAUCUUUUGCUAAAAAAAUAACAAUGUGCCUUUUUUACGAAACGCCCCAUUCCAGCAUCUAGAAGUUUCCUUCCUCCCCAGAGACCCAAGGAAAUGUGUUUUGAGCAGAAAUCCCCCCUCCAACUCUGUAGGGAGGUGUGGCCCGCGAGAGCCGCUCUGGCCUAGGUCUGGUGGCCAGGACCAGGGCACAGGAAGCCCCUUCCUCAUUUAGAGCAGGGCUCGGCACGCCACUGCCCGUGGGUCCAAUCCAGCACGCCACCUGCGUUCCUACUACCCACGAAAAUAGUUUCCACGUUUUUAUGUGUUGGCCAAAAAAAAAAAAAAUCAAAAGAGUAUUUCAUGACAUGUGAAAAUGAUACGAAAUGAAAAUUUCGGGCUCUGUCAAGGGUCCAGGGAAGCUUUAUGGAAACACAGCCAGGCUCGUGCAUUUGCCUAUUACCCACGUCUGCUCCCAAGCUGCCCAGAGAAGCCACAGUAGAUGUCCCUGACCUGCAGAGCCGGAAAUAUUUACUCUCUGGCCCUGCACAAUGUUUGCUAACCCCAGCUUUAGAUCUUUAAACUCGGCUGUGCUCGGAGAAGUCGGAUGAAUCGGUGACCUUUCUCUGUCUCUCGGGCUCCAGCGGAGACAGCCUCACGGGGCAGAACAAACAAGAGCCCCGUUCUCCGCCUGCUGAUGAGGACAGCCUCCCGAUGUGCAGCCCAUGAGAGGUUUCUGCCAAUCCUCAAGCCCAGCGCCAGGAGAAGAGACUCCCGCCUGGACAAGACGGCCCCGGAAAGGCGGGAGGUCCAGAAUCCGGUGCGUCCGUCUGCAUCAGGAGGCCCCGCACAUCCCGGCCCGAAGCCGCCCACCCUCCUCCCCGCUCAGGAAGCAGGAGACGUCCGUGGGCCCCUGACGUGCCCCUUACAGCUCCUGGACACCCCACACACUCCAGCCACCAACGGAAGCCACCAGCUUUUGAGAACUCAUUUGAAAUUGGACAAUAUGGAUGAAAUCAUCCCAUUUCUGCCCGAAUGCUUUUCUUUCUUACAGAAUAAAGCGGAAAGUUGAAGUUGCUCCUUCGAACUUGAAAGCCCCUCUUGAUGCAGAGUCCCGCCCAGGGCUUUGGGAGGUGUCCUCAGACUUGCCUGGGCUUUGGGGCCUCCCAGGUGGUCCGGAGUCACUCCGGAGAGGAGCCUGGGACGGCGUGGACAUGGACGGACUCGAGUGUGACCCCCGCAUCAGCCGUGCAGGCUCGAAGAUGUAACUGCCCUCUCGGAGCCUGGGGUUCUUCCUCUGCAGAAUGAGAACAUGCAGAGCAUGCCUCCAAGGAAUUCGGGGGAUGGAAUAAAUGAUCGAAAGUUUAUGAGCAGAAGGAGCAGGCAUGACACGUCGUUAACCAAUAAGGAAACAACUGUGCAGGAAACACCUUGUUUCCCUGUGGGACGCGAGCCCUCUGGAAAUAGACAUGUAAACUUCGUGUUUUCUUAGCACCUUUGUUUAAAACUCCCCAGGACCAUCUGCUGUGCUUCCCCCAGCACACACCGGUGACAACAAACAAUAACAGAUCCGUUCACAGGCGCGGAGAGCCGACCAGGUGCCGGGACCGGGCCUCGGCAGCCCCUGGAUUCUCACCAUGACCCUGCAAGGCAGGUGUUAGGACCGUGUCCCUCCAGUUUCCAGCGAAGGUCUGCAGCAUAGACGGGUGAACACUGCUAGCUAGCAGGUGUCAGAACUCAGACAAUCCAGUCCAGGGCCCACAGCCGCAUGGACAGACGAGGGAAUGAACCCCUGAGCACGUGAGUGCCUCACGUCCAGCGUGCUCAGGCUGAGGGCAGGUGCGGAAGCUUAGGGAAGGACAUGGCCAGGGCUGGCUCAUGACCCGGCGGAGGUCGCCAGGGGAGGCUGUGUCCAUCCAGAGCAUCGGCGAGGCGUGAGCUUCCUCCUGGCAACGCGGGCAAGUCCCAGGAGUGAGCCUCCCUGGAGAACAAGGCAGGGGGCGCGCAGGUCGAGCCCUUCUGCCACACUCUGGUCCAGGCGUCAUCAAGAGUUAUUACCAGGGUGGUCCUGGCCUCAUCAGGCGAGCCUCUUGAAAGAAGGUCACACGGUCGGAGUCGUCCCCCGCCCCCCACUGGCCUCGAAAGAGCAGGUGCCGUGAGCCUUGGGUGUAAGGAACACAUGAGGUGUAAGGAAACGGAUCCUGCCAUCAGCUGUACGAGCCUGGAGAAGAACGGCUGCCUCCCGGGAGGCCCAGCCCCCUGCGGACACCCUGAGGGAAGCUUCGCAAAGUCCUGGGCAGGGGACCCAGGGAAGCCAGCCGACCCCCGGGAGCCAUGUGAUCCCAAAUGCGUGUGUGGCUGUUUGUUGUGCAGACAUAGGGACCAUCUAGCCGCAAGCCCGCCCCGCUCCUGCCUGGCUUGAGCUGAGUGUCAACCCACGAGUGGGCCACACCCAGCAGCCCUCCCCAAGCUCGGCCGAUGCCCCCACCCGGCCCUGACCCUCGGCCCUUUGUCCUUCAUCCUCUAUGAAGUUGUCCCUUAUCCCCGACCAAAGGGACAGGCCCCUUGCUGACAAGUAACGGGGCGGCGGCACGUAAGAACCUGCCCCUCGCAGUGCUCCUCCAGGCUUCGGGCCACCUCGCCUGCGUACCCUUCUCCAGCCCGAGGAGAGGGCCUGCCUCCCACGGCCGCCCAUCUCUGGGCCACCCCAGCACCCGCCCCUUUGCCUUCUGAGCCCCCCCACAGCCAGGCCUUCCCGAGUUGGUCUGAGUGAGUCUCCGCUCCUUGCGACCUGGUGGCCUUUGUCCAUAGCAGAGGGGCUGUGACCUGUCCAGGGACUGUGACGGACGCAGCCGAGAUCUGAAUAAGUGUGUCCAGGCUUCUUGCUCCAAGACCAACACCCACUGCACUGCCCGGGAAUCGUGCAGACCAAGAAGGAGUUUGUGGAAUGGGCACACGGAUACGCCAAGGGCCACGGCGCCCUGUAACAUGCUCUGACCCCCAUCCCUUGGGCCAGUGGGUUAACCCCUUGCUGCCUGCAGGAUGUGAAAGGACCUAUCUUGCAACCAAAUACCCAGACUCGAGGCUCCUGUCCAGACCCCCCCCCCCCCCCACACACACACACCCUGGUCUGCAAUUUCCUCUGAACAGAGAUGCGUUAGCCUUUUACGGGAAGAUUAGUCUUCCCAGCUGGUGACGGGCACCAAAUGAGAGGCGAGGUGUUCUGGCUUCUCUCCACCAUCUGUUAACACGACCCUGAGCCAACCUCAGGUUCUGCUUCCCGCUUGGCUUUUUCGGAACGGGGCUGCCAACGCCUUGACUGCUUUUCUCCCCGCCGUGUGCUCCCGUAUGCCCGCUCACGCUCCCGCCUCCUGGGGGAGGCGAUGGGGUGACGUGCACCUGCCAGCUGAGCACUGAUCCAGAGACGUGGCCGGAACCAGCCUCGGGAGCGGUCUCCGGGUCCCUUCUUACUUUGUGGGCUUCUGUUCAGGUAUCAUCUCCUUUAGGGCCAUUAGGGCUGAGUUGGAGUCAAAAAGAUGGCCCCUUAUUAGUGCACAAAUACGACCUGACAAAUUCAACAGACAUCUCUGUGGAGACUCGGGAGGGACCCAGAUCCAGUCACGGAGUGGGGUCUGACAUCGAAGCCCAACGCUCAGGAGAGACCGGGGGGUGGGGGCCGCCACCCCGCCCAGCCCGCGGCACCUGCUCGGUCUCCUUCGCGCACUUCCUGAGAGACAUGAAACAGACAUCACCGUCUGGGGCAAUUACUUGUUUUCAAGCCAUUUUACACCACAGACCUGACAAGAGCCAAGAGAGAAAGGAAAUCCAAUCCCUCCUGAUGUCUCUACGGAAGAUUAACCGCCUCCAAGAAAUUAGGGAAGUGUCUUCGUAACCGUGACUUAAAGAUACUGCUAUUCAGUAUGUUAAUGAAAAAUCCAUUGAUGUCUGGCAUUUAUCAGGUGUCAAAAAUUAAAUUUAGCCGUCCUGUGAUUUUAAUUAGUGCGAACCCGGUUAAGCCGGCAGGUAGCUGUCUGACUCAGGCAGGCGCCUCCAUCCGCACACCCCUCACGGGCUGACACG